AAGGGUGAAGUAUAUGAAGUAUUUACGUCUCAGUUACAUUGAGAAAAACCUUAUUUAGGGCUCCCUUA
rnacentral:tRNA from 1 species